rnacentral:rRNA from 1 species
UACGGGGGGGGCAAGCGUUGUUCGGAAUUACUGGGCGUAAAGGGCUCGUAGGCGGCCAACUAAGUCAGACGUGAAAUCCCUCGGCUUAACCGGGGAACUGCGUCUGAUACUGGAUGGCUUGAGUUUGGGAGAGGGAUGCGGAAUUCCAGGUGUAGCGGUGAAAUGCGUAGAUAUCUGGAGGAACACCGGUGGCGAAGGCGGCAUCCUGGACCGACACUGACGCUGAGGAGCGAAAGCCAGGGGAGCAAAGCGGG